GAUGAACGCUGGCGGCGUGCCUAAUACAUGCAAGUCGAGCGAACAGACGAGGAGCUUGCUCCUCUGACGUUAGCGGCGGACGGGUGAGUAACACGUGGAUAACCUACCUAUAAGACUGGGAUAACUUCGGGAAACCGGAGCUAAUACCGGAUAACAUGUUGAACCGCAUGGUUCAACAGUGAAAGACGGUCUUGCUGUCACUUAUAGAUGGAUCCGCGCCGCAUUAGCUAGUUGGUAAGGUAACGGCUUACCAAGGCAACGAAGCGUAGCCGACCUGAGAGGGUGAUCGGCCACACUGGAACUGAGACACGGUCCAGACUCCUACGGGAGGCAGCAGUAGGGAAUCUUCCGCAAUGGGCGAAAGCCUGACGGAGCAACGCCGCGUGAGUGAAGAAGGUCUUCGGAUCGUAAAACUCUGUUAUUAGGGAAGAACAAAUGUGUAAGUAACUAUGCACGUCUUGACGGUACCUAAUCAGAAAGCCACGGCUAACUACGUG
rnacentral:rRNA from 1 species